UUAGUUAAGUGAAUAAGGGCGCACGGUGGAUGCCUUGGCACUAGGAGCCGAAGAAGGACGGGACUAACACCGAUAUGUCCUGGGGAGUCGUAAGUAGACAUCGAUCCAGGAAUUUCCGAAUGGGGGAACCCGCUGCUCGUAAUGGAGCAGUACUUCUAUCUGAAUUCAUAGGGUAGAAGAGGCAUACCCGGGGAACUGAAACAUCUCAGUACCCGGAGGAAGAGAAAGCAAACGCGAUUUCCCGAGUAGCGGCGAGCGAAACGGAAGUAGCCCAAACCAGAAGGCUUGCCUUCUGGGGUUGUAGGACACUCCAUUGGAGUUAUCAAGAGAUUCUUUAGAUGAAGCGAUCUGGAAAGGUCGGCCAAAGAAGGUAACAGCCCUGUAAUCGAAAAAGAAUCUCCUCCGGAGUGGAUCCUGAGUACGGCGGAACACGAGGAAUUCCGUCGGAAUCCGGGAGGACCAUCUCCCAAGGCUAAAUACUCCCUAGUGACCGAUAGUGAACCAGUACCGUGAGGGAAAGGUGAAAAGCACCCCGGAAGGGGAGUGAAAUAGAACCUGAAACCGUGUGCCUACAAGUAGUCGAAGCCCGUUAAUGGGUGACGGCGUACCUUUUGUAGAAUGGACCGGCGAGUUACGAUCGUAUGCAAGGUUAAGUGGAAGACACGGAGCCGUAGCGAAAGCGAGUCUGAACAGGGCGAAUAUAGUAUGCGGUCGUAGACCCGAAACCGUGUGAUCUACCCAUGUCCAGGGUGAAGGUCAGGUAACACUGACUGGAGGCCCGAACCCACGUAUGUUGAAAAAUGCGGGGAUGAGGUGUGGGUAGGGGUGAAAUGCCAAUCGAACACGGAGAUAGCUGGUUCUCUCCGAAAUAGCUUUAGGGCUAGCCUCAAGGAAAGAGUACUGGAGGUAGAGCACUGAUUGAACUAGGGGCCCUCAUCGGGUUACCGAAUUCAGUCAAACUCCGAAUGCCAGCUACUUAUCCUUGGGAGUCAGACUAUGGGUGAUAAGGUUCAUAGUCGAAAGGGAAACAGCCCAGACCGCCAGCUAAGGUCCCAAAGUAUACGUUAAGUGGAAAAGGAUGUGGAGUUGCUUAGACAACCAGGAUGUUGGCUUAGAAGCAGCCACCAUUUAAAGAGUGCGUAAUAGCUCACUGGUCGAGUGACUCUGCGCCGAAAAUGUACCGGGGCUAAACGUAUCACCGAAGCUGCGGAUUGUUCUUACGAACAAUGGUAGGAGAGCGUUCUAAGUGCUGAGAAGUCAGAUCGUGAGGACUGGUGGAGCGCUUAGAAGUGAGAAUGCCGGUAUGAGUAGCGAAAAAAGAGUGAGAAUCUCUUUCACCGAAAGCCUAAGGUUUCCUGAGGAAGGCUCGUCCUCUCAGGGUUAGUCGGGACCUAAGCCGAGGCCGAAAGGCGUAGGCGAUGGACAACAGGUAGAUAUUCCUGUACCACCUCAUGAACGUUUGAACGAUGGGGGGACGCAGUAGGAUAAGGAAUGCGCACCGAUGGACGUGUGCGCCCAAGCAGUGAGAAAGUCGGAUAGGCAAAUCCGUUCGACAAUUUCAAGCUGUGAUGGGGAGGGAAAUAGAGUACCGAAGUUCCGGAUUUCACACUGCCAAGAAAAGCCUCUAGUGAGUUCAUAGGUGCCCGUACCGCAAACCGACACAGGUAGGCGAGGAGAGAAUCCUAAGGUGAGCGGGAGAACUCUCGUUAAGGAACUCGGCAAAAUGACCCCGUAACUUCGGGAGAAGGGGUGCUCCUUGUAGGAGGAGCCGCAGUGAAUAGGCCCAAGCGACUGUUUAGCAAAAACACAGGUCUCUGCGAAGCCGAAAGGCGAAGUAUAGGGGCUGACACCUGCCCGGUGCUGGAAGGUUAAGGGGAAGCGUUAGCACUUCGGUGCGAAGCGUAGAACCGAAGCCCCAGUAAACGGCGGCCGUAACUAUAACGGUCCUAAGGUAGCGAAAUUCCUUGUCGGGUAAGUUCCGACCCGCACGAAAGGUGCAACGACUUGGGCACUGUCUCAACGAGAGACCCG
rnacentral:rRNA from 1 species